GCGCUUUGAGAAACUGAAAGUAGCCUACCGUGCAAUUUCCAGUCGUGCUGCAAGAGCCAGAGAGAUAAACAUCAACGAACUGCUGGAGGACAAUAUUUGCUGAAAUCAUUUUAACAUUUAAAAGAACGUUUUUUUCCCCCUAGCUUGACCACUGGACAAACGACAAAGAUCUUGGACGUGCGGAUCCUCCCAGUGAAUGGUUUGGUCUGCUUGAAAUCUCUCCACCUUCUUAAUGGACACUCCAUAAUACCCCAUUUACCCCAGUUUUAACCCUGACACGGAAGGCAUAUUGUCUGUGAUGCAUGAUCUUAAGCAAAAGAACUUGUCAGACAACACCCUUCUCUCCAACUUGGACUUUGCUGAGAGAUUCCUUCGAGACCACCCUCUAAAAAGUUACUCAAAAUUGUUGGUUAAAGGAAACUACUCUUGUGUACAAAUUGGUCACAAUAAACGGAGGAUUUUUAUUGUAACUUCAGAAAACGACUAAGCCUGUGUCGAUGUCUAUAUCCACGACAUAAGUGCCAAAUACGUCACAAAGAAUUGCAUUGAAGCCAAUCACUUUUUUAACCACUCUUGCCAAGAUGAGUUUAGAUCCUGUUUUACACAGGCUCAAGAAGCUGUUAAUGAGGGUCUGUCAAGACUACACAUUAAAUGCAACAGGUUCUCCGUCACCUACACCUCACAAUCUGGCAAUCCAGGCACAACUGUGGAAACGAAGUGUCAUUUAAAGCUUGAGAGCCUCACUGCUGAGGGUUUUAUGAACAAAAAAGUCUGGCUGCUGAAAGAGAAGCCCACAUGUCACGGUUUGAUAGCAUGUCUAGACUAUCUCAUAAAGCAAUACCUUACCACAAACAAUUCUCUAAUGCAUAGAUGUAGAUUUGUCAUACAUGCAGACAAAGAAAUAAUCAAAAUCUUUUCACCUCAAAAUUUCCCCAGUGACACUGAGUAUGUAUUGCUACAUGAUAAUGAGGGGGUCUCAAUGUUUCCUCCAACACUGCAAUAGGAGCUAUGACAGCCUUGAUUUAAGUAUCCAUUAUAUCCACAUAAUCACAUACUGUAUAUUUAUGACUAGUUGAAAAUAUUAGCCUUCAAGUAAUGCCAUACAAUGGCAUUGCCUCUCGAUUCAGUACAGUAUAUACAAUGUCUAUCUUUUAUUUUGUGCUUCUUUUUUUAUUUGUGACAAGCUAAUUUUUAAUAGAUUUACAUUUGCAUGUUUUUAUAUUUCAUCUGU